AUGCGGAGGCGGGCGCCGGGGCCCUGGUGGCGCCAGGAGGCGAGCGCGGGGGCGAGGCGGCGCUGCAUGUCGGCGGUGACCUGCGCCUUGAGCUGCGGCGACUUGAAGAAGGCGCCGACGAGGCCGUGGACGCGGCGCUGCAGGCUGCCGUUGAUGAGCAGGAUGGAGGACUUGCCCAUGAGCUCCGUCAGCGACCGCGGGUACCACGGCACGAACGACCGCGCGUCGCUCUGCAGCACGAACCGGUUCACCUCCGCGUCCGCCGUCACCACCGUCGCCGACCCGAACAGGUGCGACCGGAACACCGCGCCGCCGUACCUGCAUGCACGCGCCCCGCCGCGCCGAUGGUCCGUGUCAGUUACAGUACCACGCACGCACGCACGCACGUGCAUGCGCGCGCGCUGGCAUGCCAUGGCAUGGCAUGGCAUCGACGGAUGA
rnacentral:rRNA from 1 species